rnacentral:rRNA from 1 species
UACGGAGGGGACUAGCGUUGUUCGGAAUUACUGGGCGUAAAGCGCACGUAGGCGGAUUUGUAAGUCAGGGGUGAAAUCCCGAGGCUCCAACCUCGGAACUGCCUUUGAUACUUGCAAAUCUCGAGUCCGGAAGAGGUGAGUGGAAUUCCUAGUGUAGAGGUGAAAUUCGUAGAUAUUAGGAAGAACACCAGUGGCGGAAG